rnacentral:ncRNA from 2 species
GAUAACAGGCUGAUCUUCCCCAAUAGUCCGCAUCGACGGAAGGUUUGGCACCUCGAUGUUGGCUCUUCGCCACCUGGAGAUGUAGGUGGUUCCAAGGGUUGGGCUGUUUGCCCAUUAAUGCGGUACGUGAGCUGGGUUCAGAACGUCGUGAGACAAUUC